rnacentral:lncRNA from 1 species
UCUGACAUCAGUCUAUUAGCAAUCUCUUCAACGGUAGACGUGUACAAUUAAGCACAUCUAUUGGGUUGCUUACAAAUAAGAGUUCGUUCUGUAGUGGUUAGAAUUAUAAACGGACACUAAAUCUUCGAGCUGAACUGAACUGCAACUAGCGUGUUCUGCUUCCAGGAUUAAUCCGAGUUCUAAUCACCACGUACA